UACGUAGGGUGCGAGCGUUGUCCGGAAUUAUUGGGCGUAAAGAGCUCGUAGGUGGCGUGUCGCGUCUGCCGUGAAAGCCCAUGGCUUAACUGUGGGUCUGCGGUGGAUACGGGCAGGCUGGAGGCUGGUAGGGGCAAGCGGAAUUCCUGGUGUAGCGGUGAAAUGCGCAGAUAUCAGGAGGAACACCGGUGGCGAAGGCGGCUUGCUGGGCCAGUUCUGACGCUGAGGAGCGAAAGCGUGGGGAGCGAACAGG
rnacentral:rRNA from 1 species